rnacentral:rRNA from 1 species
CGGCGAACGGGUGAGUAACGCGUGAGUAACCUGCCCUAGAUGGGGGACAACAGUUGGAAACGACUGCUAAUACCGCAUAAGCCCACGGUGCCGCAUGACACUGAGGGAAAAGGAUUUAUUCGCUUUAGGAUGGACUCGCGUCCAAUUAGCUAGUUGGUGAGGUAACGGCCCACCAAGGCGACGAUUGGUAGCCGGACUGAGAGGUUGAACGGCCACAUUGGGACUGAGACACGGCCCAG